rnacentral:pre_miRNA from 9 species
AUUUGACGCACACAAAGUUAACUCAAAUCUGUAUGGAGUUGGACGUUUGCCUACGUUUGCCGCUAGGGGCAUUGUUCCAAAUGCAUACAAAUUUGAGUUAACUUUUACGCUAUCGA